UAUCUGGGGUGGCUUGUAAGCCUGAGAAUACACCCGUUGAACCUGAUCUGGACAAUGCCAGCGUAAGGAAAAGACGUAA
rnacentral:ncRNA from 1 species